rnacentral:tRNA from 1 species
UUAAAUUAGUUAAUGAGCUUGAUAAAGCAAUUGUUUUGAAAACAUUAAAUAGAA